rnacentral:rRNA from 1 species
UACGAAUGGAGCGAGCGUUGUUCGGAAUCACUGGGCGUAAAGCGUAUGCAGGCGGACAUGCAAGUCAGAAGUGAAAUCCCAGGGCUUAACCCUGGAAUGGCUUUUGAAACUGCAUGUCUUGAGUCUCGGAGGGGCCAGCGGAAUUCCCAGUGUAGAGGUGAAAUUCGCAGAUAUUGGGAGGAACACCAGUGGCGUAGGCGGCUGGCUGGACGAGUACUGACGCUCAGAUACGAAAGCGUGGGGAUCAAAC